UUCCGUAGGGUAACCUGCGGAGGGAUCAUUACCGAGUUUACAACUCCCAAACCCCUGUGAACAUACCACUUGUUGCCUCGGCGGAUCAGCCCGCUCCCGGUAAAACGGGACGGCCCGCCAGAGGACCCCUAAACUCUGUUUCUAUAUGUAACUUCUGAGUAAAACCAUAAAUAAAUCAAAACUUUCAACAACGGAUCUCUUGGUUCUGGCAUCGAUGAAGAACGCAGCAAAAUGCGAUAAGUAAUGUGAAUUGCAGAAUUCAGUGAAUCAUCGAAUCUUUGAACGCACAUUGCGCCCGCCAGUAUUCUGGCGGGCAUGCCUGUUCGAGCGUCAUUUCAACCCUCAAGCACAGCUUGGUGUUGGGACUCGCGUUAAUUCGCGUUCCUCAAAUUGAUUGGCGGUCACGUCGAGCUUCCAUAGCGUAGUAGUAAAACCCUCGUUACUGGUAAUCGUCGCGGCCACGCCGUUAAACCCCAACUUCUGAAUGUUGACCUCGGAUCAGGUAGGAAUACCCGCUGAACUUAAGCAUAUCAAUAGGCGGAGGAACCUC
rnacentral:rRNA from 1 species